rnacentral:piRNA from 1 species
UGCCCCCUGCUCUUUGUUUACAGGGAG